rnacentral:sRNA from 1 species
CUUGGUCAUUUAGAGGAAGUAAAAGUCGUAACAAGGUUUCCGUAGGUGAACCUGCGGAAGGAUCAUUAGUGAAUUGAAUAUGUUAGCGGACCUCUUCGGAGUCCCUAGCAUCAAAUCAUAUCCAUAACACCUGUGAACUGUAAGGCUGUCUUGAAAACGAAAGUGAUUAGAGCGCCUGCCCAUUUUAUACAAACAUUAAAGUAACAAACGUAGUCUUAUUAUAAUCUAAUAAAACUUUCAACAACGGAUCUCUUGGCUCUCGCAUCGAUGAAGAACGCAGCGAAAUGCGAUAAGUAAUGUGAAUUGCAGAAUUCAGUGAAUCAUCGAAUCUUUGAACGCACCUUGCGCUCUUUGGUAUUCCGAAGAGCAUGCCUGUUUGAGUGUCAUGAAAAUAUCAACCUUGACUUGGGUUUAGUGCUCUUGUCUUGGCUUGGAUUUGGCUGUUUGCCGCUCGAAAGAGUCGGCUCAGCUUAAAAGUAUUAGCUGGAUCUGUCUUUGAGACUUGGUUUGACUUGGCGUAAUAAGUUAUUUCGCUGAGGACAAUCUUCGGAUUAGCCGAGUUUCUGGGACGUUUGUCCGCUUUCUAAUACAAGUUCUAGCUUGCUAGACAUGACUUUUUUAUUAUCUGGCCUCAAAUCAGGUAGGACUACCCGCUGAACUUAAGCAUAUCAAUAAGCGGAGGAAAAGAAACUAACAAGGAUUCCCCUAGUAACGGCGAGUGAAGCGGGAAGAGCUCAAAUUUGAAAUCUGGUGGCCUCAGGCUAUCCGAGUUGUAAUCUAUAGAAACAUUUUCCGCGUUGGCCCAUGUACAAGUCUCUUGGAAUAGAGCGUCAUAGAGGGUGAGAAUCCCGUCCUUGACAUGGACUACCAGUGCUUUGUGAUAUGUUUUCAACGAGUCGAGUUGUUUGGGAAU